CUGAUGGUCAUCACUUGUAACAGCAACUCCAUGUGGAAGUAGAUAUAAUAUUCCGGUGGAGAUGCUGUUAUCUGUAAUGUGCAUCUU
rnacentral:pre_miRNA from 1 species